rnacentral:miRNA from 1 species
CUGUCCUAAGGUUGUUGAGU